UACAUAGCUUAAUGAGGGGAACUCAGGGAACUGAAACAUCUAAGUACCUGAAGGAAGAGAAAGAAAUUCGAUUCCGUAAGUAGCGGCGAGCGAACGCGGAUUAGCCCAAACCAAUAAAGUUUUCUUUAUUGGGGUUGCGGACAUAUCAUAACGAAGAGGUAUCGUAAUUGAAGAGGUUUGGAAAGACCCACCACAGAAGGUAAUAGUCCUGUAUGUUAAACGAGAAGACUUUAGGUAUGAUCCAGAGUACCACGGGACACGUGAAACCCUGUGGUAAACAGGAGCGACCAUCCUCCCAGGCUAAAUACUACCCACUUACCGACAGCGUAUACUACCGUCAGGGAAAGGUGAAAAGAACCCCGGGAGGGGAGUGAAAUAGAACCUGAAACCCUGCACUUACAAGCUGUGGAAGCACAUUUCUUGUGUGACCGCGUACUUUUUGUAGAACGGGCCAACGAGUUACGUUAAGUAGCAAGGUUAAGCACUUAAGGUGCGGAGCCGUAGCGAAAGCGAGUUUUAACUGAGCGUUCAGUUACUUGACGUAGACCCGAAACCGGGCGACCUACCCAUGAGCAGGAUGAAGCGAAAGUAAAAUUUCGUGGCGGUCCGAACCCACGAGCGUUUAAAAGCUCGGGGAGGACUUGUGGGUAGCGGUGAAAUCACAAUCGACCACGGAGAUAGCAGGGUUGCCCCGGAAUAGAUUUAGGGUGCGCUGUCAGGUGAGAGGUACGGAGUGAGAGAUCUAAAUGUCCCAGGGGGUAUUACCGC
rnacentral:rRNA from 1 species